rnacentral:tmRNA from 1 species
GGGGGCGUAAAGGUUUCGACGGGGAUCCUGAAACAUGAUAAGCGAGUAGAGCCGGUGUAAACUCUUAAAACUGCACCACGUUUAAAUAUAAACGCUAGAAAUAAUAUUACAGUUAGCUCAAAGAGCUACGCUUUAGCAGCUUAAGUCUGCUAUGUCUCCCUCAUGAGUACCACGGCUUGAGACGAGGCAUCGACUAGUGGUGAACGUUCAUAAGGACUGCUCCUUCCUUUUGAAUGUAUUUGGAGCUACUUAACCUGAAAGCCUGUUUGUCGGCGUUCAGCGGAGGGAAUGUCAAAUGAUAAACUACACUCGUAGAAAGUCA